GACAGAUUAAGCUAUAUAAUACAAACAGGAACAAUUAAAGAAGAAAAUUGGAAUAAUCCGAAUUCAAUCAAAGAAGUGUAAAUUAAAUAAUUUACAUUUUUCUGUAAAUUAAUUUCAUGCAUAUUAAGGUUACAAUCUAUAUAUCAUAUAUAUACUAUCUCACACCUAGUAAUUCAUUGUUACAAUAUCACCCUCAAACUACUGAAGCUUACACAGAUAUAAUUAAAGCAUAGAAAUACCCACGCAUGCACAAAUAGCUCAUAAAACUGGGACUGGCAUGAUCAUUUCAGUGGUGGCAUCAAUGGAAUUACUGGAAGUGGAGCGCCGGACGCCGUUCUCCUCCUCGGUCACCGCCGUUUUCUUGAUAAACUCGAUGCAAUCAGCCACUGCUUCGCUGUGGUGAGGGUCAUUAGAUGGGUGGCAAUAAGAUCUAUUUACAGGUGAUCCCCCAUUACUAUUACUGGCUUUGGAGAGAGCCGACAACAUCAUUAAGCGAAAGACAGCCUCCCGGAAACGCUCAAGGAGAGUCAUCGGAGACAAACGGUGGUGAUUAUUCUUGAUGGUGGUGGUGUUGGUGGGUCUCAGCCUGGGGAUGCAGAGAUGGCUGCUCUUCAUUAUUCUCUGAGGGCUUUGUUUCUCCAUGUUUGAUGAUGAGUUUGGGUAGUUAAAUUGGUUCUUGGUUCUUAGUCACUAUAUGAAGGAGACCUGUAUGAGAAUCUAUCAAAUAAGACAAGAUUUGUGGAUGCUUAUUUAUGUUUGGUGUAUAGAGCGAG
rnacentral:misc_RNA from 1 species